GACGAAGGUGGCGAGCGUUGUUCGGAAUCACUGGGCAUAAAGCGCGCGUAGGCGGUGACGUAAGUCGGGUGUGAAAUCCCUCGGCCUAACCGAGGAACUGCGCCCGAUACUGCGUUGCUUGAGGACCAGAGGGGUGCAUGGAAUUUCCGGUGGAGCGGUGAAAUGCGUUGAUAUCGGAAGGAACUCCGGCGGCGAAAGCGAUGCACUGGCUGGUUUCUGACGCUGAGGUGCGAAAGCCAGGGGAGCAAACGGG
rnacentral:rRNA from 1 species